rnacentral:lncRNA from 1 species
CGUUCUUCGUUGUAAAUUGCUGCUAAACACUUCUGACUUUUAAAUUGCUACUAAGACGGUCCAUAAACCGUUCUCAUCCAAUUUAGUCACUUUUAUUACAUUCCUCUUUGCUUCCCCCAAUCACUGUGGCGGUUCCCAGUUUCAAUGUGGCCACAAUCGGAACCAGUGAAGGUAGAAAACUCUGGAACAGAGAUCGGCGACCGGAGCAGGAUUCAGGGCUUUAAAUUUUAACCUGAGUUCGAUCGAAUGGGACUGGCAGAAGAGCUGACCUGGCGUCCGCCUGCCAGUUAACUCCGACCAGGGUUGAAAGCUACUUUCUUUUGGGUUUUUCGUGAGUUUCCGACCAAGUUUUUAACAGACUCAGUUUUUUCAGAAGCUCAUUUGUAAGCAGUUACAGAAACGUUGUGGACAUUUGAUUUUCUUUGGGGCCAACUGUUGCCAAGUGCUUCUCAGUUUUACUCUUAAAAGCAAAGGUUUUUUUUUUUCUUUUUUCUUAAUUCAUAUCUCAGUGAGGUGAUUUCUAAUGCGGACGAGUUUUUAAAAAUCCUCUGGCUAAGUUAGAUUCCAGGAUGUGAAUGGCCUCCAAGCCUGAGCCCUGAGAAGACCCAGACCCGAACCUGAUUCCUGUUGUGUGUGUUUCUUUAUAUUAGGAAGUAUGAAGGUGUCUGAAUUUCCUUGGACAAUAGCUAAGCCCCCAGGGACGUGCUUUCCCCGCAGCUCCGCAGCAGCUGUACGAGGGUGCACCGGCCCUGACACCGCUGGGACAGACCGUGACCGACCCCACAACGUGCGGUCUCAAAUGGCUCGAGAAGGCGCCCGGGAUUUUACCUUCCAGAUUCCCAAUCUCUUUUUAACAUUGCCUAAAACAAGGGUGGGCAGUUGCAAUUUGCUCCUUUGCACGGUCACAAUUUUUUUUAGACUGGUUUUCCAACUAAAGGAAAUGAGGGGUAG